rnacentral:rRNA from 1 species
CAGCUCCCUGAGUGGUGGGGAUUAUUAUUGGGCUUAAAGCGUUCGUAGCCGGUCUGAUUAGUCCCGCGUCAAAUCCAGCGACCUAAUCGUUGGAUUGCGGGGGAUACGGUCGGGCUUGGGAGCGGAAGAGGUUAGCGGUAUUCCCGGGGUAGGGGCGAAAUCCUGUAAUCCCGGGAGGACCACCGGUGGCGAAGGCGGCUAACCAGAACGCGUCUGACGGUGAUGGACGAAAGCUGGGGGAGCGAACCGGAUUAGAUACCCGGGUAGUCCCAGCCGUAAACGAUGCGGGCUAGCUGUUGGGGUGGCCACGAGCCACCCCGGUGGCGCAGGGAAACCGUUAAGCCCGCCGCCUGGGGAGUACGAUCGCAAGAUUGAAACUUAAAGGAAUUGGCGGGGGAGCACCACAAGGGGUGAAGCUUGCGGUUUAAUUGGAGUCAACGCCGGGAAUCUUACCGGGGCUGACAGCAGAGUGAAGGCCAGAUUGAAGGUCUUGCCGGACAAGCUGAGAGGUAGCGCAUGGCGGUCUUCAGUUCGUGCCGUGAGGUGUCCUGUUAAGUCAGGUAACGAUCGAGACCCGCGCCCUUAGUUGCCACCGGAUCCGCUGGGAUUCGAGCACUCUCAGGGAACUGCCACUGAUAAAGUGGAGGAAGGAGCGGUCAAAGGCACGUCAGUAUGCUCCGAAUGCCCCGGGCCACACGCGAGCUGCAAUGGUGGGGACAACGAGUUGCAACCCUGAGAGGGGAAGCUAAUCUCUAAACCCUAUCGUAGUUGGGAUCGAGGGCUGUAACUCGCCCUCGUGAACAUGGAAUCCCUAGUAACCGCGCGUCAUCACCGCGCGGUGAAUACGUCCCCGCUCCUU